AGGUGAUUGGGCUUCAGGUGGUGCCAACGGGAACCGAGGACCCCCCGAAGAGAAUCCGGAAGUUUGCCAUCUUACUGGUGGGGGCCCUUCAGUCUUCACCUUAGGUAAGCCUGAGUCACACGCGCUCCUCAAAAAAGUCCCGCCAGAUCCCUACCCAGGAGGCUCAGCUCGGACCUCCGGGUGAUUCUAAUACAGACCAGGGGGGCCAUCUUUGAGAAACGCUGGGCAGAAUGGAAAUAUUUCAGUGCACUUGAAUGCUGAGAUGAAAUGGCCAACGGUGAGAGGAGAGUGAAGACGGCAGGAGACUGGAAGCCAGGCCCCAGCGGAGAUUCCCAGAGAGCACACGUGACUGGCUGAGCUGACGGCUCCUGCUCAGCGGGUGGGUACAUCUCAACCUCCCAACCGGAAGAGGGGCGAUCCCGCCCUUUCAGCUUCUGUGCUGGGAGAGAGAACUCUGAAUGUACCCUCCUGCCAAGACCUCGGGUAGUAGGGCAGAAUCAGAGUUGCAGUGUAAACAUGACAAGUCUAACUGGGAUUAAUGUAUCUUCCUGGCCACAACACGCACUAUGCGAGGUGGAACUGUACCUGUCACGGUAUCCCCCCAAGUCCAUACACCAUGAGUGUCCCGGUAAAUGUUUCUUGAAUGAAUGAAUUUUGUCCACUGUUUCUCCCACUACUUUAUUUGUUGACAUUACACCUACAGUUCUGAACAAAACAGACUUACUUAGCUCUAUUUAUGACUUAAAAUAUUAUGAACAGGGAGGAAGAAACCUCCCUAGUGUCCUUGGCAGUAUUGGGACCCAUUACCAUUCACUGAAUAAAUGGUGAAGCUCAGGAUCAACCUUACAAGUUACUUUCCUUGACAAGGUUCACAAAUCAUAUUUCUUUUUUUUAUUAAAUGUAACGUAUCAUUAAAAUUAAAUCAUUUUUUAAAACAUUUCA